rnacentral:rRNA from 1 species
AACGAACGCUGGCGGCGUGCCUAAGACAUGCAAGUCGAACGGUAAGGCACCUUCGGGUGUACACGAGUGGCGCACGGGUGAGUAACGCGUGGGUAAUCUGCCCUCAGGUCGGGGACAACUUCGGGAAACUGGAGCUAAUACCGGAUGAGCCCACGAGGCCUUCGGGCUUCGCGGGAAAAGGUGGCCUCUCCUUGGAAGCUACCGCCAGGGGAUGAGCCCGCGUCCCAUUAGCUUGUUGGUGAGGUAACGGCUCACCAAGGCGACGAUGGGUAGCUGGUCUGAGAGGAUGAUCAGCCACACUGGAACUGAGACACGGUCCAGACUCCUACGGGAGGCAGCAGUCGGGAAUUUUGGGCAAUGGGCGAAAGCCUGACCCAGCAACGCCGCGUGAGGGAUGAAGGCCCUCGGGUCGUAAACCUCUGUCGGGAGGGAAGAACGUCCUUCGGCUGAAUAAUCCGAGGGGCUGACGGUACCUCCAAAGGAAGCACCGGCUAACUCCGUG